UCCGUAUAUGAUCUGUUUUCAUCCCUAGGUCUAGCAUACUUAUAAGGUUUCAAACACGAAAAGAAAUUCAUUUGUGUAACAUAAUGACAACUGAUGAAGUCUCCUUAGUACAAAGAUAUGGACAUCCUGAUGUAGUGUAGGGUGGCUCUACUAUGAUGCCAACUUAUAACUUUGUCAUGCUUCUAGAAAACAUUAUAGGUGGUCCUGUGUAUCACAAAGUUAUAUUACACACCAACCAUAAUAAUCAGUGUAGGACAUGUCUUUUGAGGGGAACCAUUAUAUAUUUGAUCGUGGAACCCUCUACUUCAUCAUAUGAGCCCAAUUUGUCAAUGGCAGAAGUAAGAACAACACAAAAUGGUGGAUAAAGAGCACUGAGAUGGUUCAGAAGCAAAUAAUAGUUAUUCUCAAAUUGGAAUGGAAGGUGGAAGGAAAUAUGGUAUCGCUACAAGAAGUUCUUAUGCUAUUAGGGCAGCUCCUGUGUAGAGCGAUAACAAACCGUGGGCAGCUGAAAUCAAACCAUGCACACUACAGCAAGCGAACUGUGGUUCCUGAAUCUGGACUUGGACUUCAGAUAUGGUUCAGUUGUUGGGGAAUUAAAAAUAUUAGAUGAGGCGGCAGAUGUUGGGAGCAUCUGGCAUCGCACGCAAACGAGCAAACUCAAAGUGAUUAUUUAUUCAUCGUCGAGCCUAAAAAUCGAUGUCUCCACUGUAAUGGCUGAGCAGUGCAAAAGUGAAUCAAAUUCUAGGAGGUGAGGGAAGGAUUAUGAGUCCACAAGGAAAUGUGACCAGUCUAGUGUUGUGCAUACGUUUCAGCUCUAGUUCUCUUAAGCUCACACAUGCAUGUGGCAUAGCCGCAAGCUGGAUCGGCAUUAGCAUCUUGGACGUUUAAUGAUUGUAAAGAACUGAUAAGUAACAACUUAAGUGUCAUUUUUCCUCCAUAGUUUUGAAACCUCUAUCUGUAUACACUACCACAGAUUUGGUCUUUACUACCGGC
rnacentral:lncRNA from 1 species